GUGCACAACCUGUAGCUUGGGAUGAUUACAAUGCUGGGAACAGUGUUGAAAGCCCUUGCUAUGAAAUUUUACACACACAUAUUAAAAGUUAUAGAAUGUUAUAUAGCGUGUAACAGCGCAAAUAAAUAUACAACUUUCAGCAACGGAUCUCUUGGCUCUCGCAUCGAUGAAGAACGCAGCGAAAUGCGAUAAGUAAUGUGAAUUGCAGAAUUCAGUGAAUCAUCGAAUCUUUGAACGCACCUUGCGCUCCUUGGUAUUCUGAGGAGCAUGCCUGUUUGAGUGUCAUGAAAUUCUCAACUGCUUCUACUUUUGUGGUUGAAGUGAAGUUGGACUUGGAGGAAUCAUUGCUGGCGUGACCUUUUAGGUUGCUUGUUAGCUCCUCUUAAAUGGAUGAACUUUGCCAUUUACAAAGUAACAUCAAUGUGAUAAUUAUCUACGUUGGAUGAGUUUGUACAAGGAAAGGUAUAUCUUGGAGUUCAAAUCCUUGAUGAAACAAAUGACAAAUUUGACCUCAAAUCAGGUAGGACUACCCGCUGAACUUAA
rnacentral:rRNA from 1 species